GUCCACGCCCUAAACGAUGAUUACUCGAUGUUGGCGAUACACUGUCAGCGUCUUAGCGAAAGCGUUAAGUAAUCCACCUGGGGAGUACGCUCGCAAGAGUGAAACUACAAAGGAAAUUGACGGGGGUCCGGCACAAGCGGUGGGAGUAUGUGGUUUAAUUUCGAUGAUACGCGAAGAACCUUACCAAGGUUAGAAUGUUUUGGUACCGCUGCUGAAAGGUGGCUUUCUCUUCGGAGACCGAUUGCAAGGUGCUGCAUGGCUGUCGU
rnacentral:rRNA from 1 species